UGGGGAAUAUUAGGCAAUGGGGGAAACCCUGACCUAGCCAUGCCGCGUGCGUGAAGAAGGUCUUAGGAUUGUAAAGCGCUUUCAGCGGGGAAGAUGAUGACGGUACCCGCAGAAGAAGCCCCGGCUAACUCCGUGCCAGCAGCCGCGGUAAUACGGAGGGGGCUAGCGUUGUUCGGAAUUACUGGGCGUAAAGGGCGUGUAGGCGGCCAAUUAAGUCAGAGGUGAAAUCCCCGAGCUCAACUUGGGAACUGCCUUUGAUACUGAUUGGCUAGAGUUCGGGAGAGGGUAGUGGAAUUCCCAGUGUAGAGGUGAAAUUCGUAGAUAUUGGGAAGAACACCAGUGGCGAAGGCGGCUACCUGGACCGAUACUGACGCUGAGGCGCGAAAGCGUGGGGAGCAAACAGGAUUAGAUACCCUGGUAGUCCACGCCGUAAACGAUGUCUGCUAGUCGUUGGGGAGCAUAGCUCUUCGGUGACGCAGCUAACGCAUUAAGCAGACCGCCUGGGGAGUACGGCCGCAAGGUUAAAACUC
rnacentral:rRNA from 1 species